AGCUCAAAUUUGAAAGCUGGUACCUUCGGUAUCCGCGUUGUAACCUCGAGACACGUUUUCCGUGCGGCGCUAUGGACAAGUUCCUUGGAACAGGACAUCGUAGAGGGUGAAAAUCCCGUACUUGCCAUGGAUGUACCGUGCUUUGCGAUACGUGCUCUAAGAGUCGAGUUGUUUGGGAUUGCAGCUCAAAAUGGGUGGUAGACUCCAUCUAAAGCUAAAUAUCGGGGAGAGACCGAUAGCGAACAAGUACCGUGAGGGAAAGAUGAAAAGCACUUUGGAAAGAGAGUUAAAAGUACGUGAAAUUGUCGAAAGGGAAGCGCUUGAAGUCAGCCAUGCCGCUCAGGACUCAGCCUGGCUUUUGCUUGGUGUAUUUCCUGGGUAGCAAGUCAGCAUUGGUUUGGAUCGUCGGAGAAGCAUAGUUGGAAUGUGGCGCCCUCGGGCGUGUUAUAGCCUUCUAUUGGAUACGACGAUCUGGACCAAGGAACGCAGCGCGCCUUAUGGCGGGUCUUCGGACACCUUCGCGCUUAGGAUGCUGGCGUAAUGGCUUUAAGU
rnacentral:rRNA from 1 species